rnacentral:rRNA from 1 species
GAUGAACGCUGGCGGCGUGCCUAAUACAUGCAAGUCGAGCGAACAGACGAGGAGCUUGCUCCUCUGACGUUAGCGGCGGACGGGUGAGUAACACGUGGAUAACCUACCUAUAAGACUGGGAUAAAUUCGGGAAAACGGAGCUAAUACCGGAGAAUAUAUUGAACCGCAUGAUUCAAUAGUGAAAGAAGGUUUUGCUGUCACUUAUAGAUGGAUCCGCGCCACAUUAGCAAGUUGGUAAGGUAACGGCUUACCAAGGCAACGAUGCGUAGCCGACCUGAGAGGGUGAUCGGCCACACUGGAACUGAUACACGGUCCAUACUCCUACGGGAGGCAGCAGUAGGUAAUCUUCCUCAAUGGGUGAAAGCCUGACGGAGCAACGCCGCGUGAGUUAUGAAGGUCUUCGGAUCGUAAAACUCUGUUAUUAGGGAAGAACAAAUGUGUAAGUAACUAUGCACGUCUUGACGGUACCUAAUCAGAAAGCCACGGCUAACUACGUG